CCUACGGGUGGCUGCAGUGGGGAAUAUUGCACAAUGUGGGAAACCCUGAUGCAGCGACGCCGCGUGAGUGAAGAAGUAAUUCGUUAUGUACAGCUCUAUCAGCAGGGAAGAAAAUGACGGUACCUAAGUAAGAAGCCCCGGCUAACUACGUGCCAGCAGCCGCGGUAAUACGUAGGGGGCAAGCGUGAUCCGGAUUUACGGGGUGAAAAGGUAGCGUAGACGGGAGUGCAAGUCUGGAGUGAAAGGCGGGGGCUCAACCCCCGGACUGCUCUGGAAACUGUACUGAUUGAGUGCAGGAGAGGUAAGUGGAAUUCCUAGUGUAGCGGUGAAAUGCGUAGAUAUUAGGAGGAACACCAGUGGCGAAGGCGGCUUACUGGACUGUAACUGACGUUGAGGCUCGAAAGCGUGGGGAGCAAACAGGAUUAGAUACCCGGGUAGUC
rnacentral:rRNA from 1 species